rnacentral:rRNA from 1 species
GUAAUUCCAGCUCCAAUAGCGUAUAUUAAAGUUGUUGCAGUUAAAAAGCUCGUAGUUGAACCUUGGGCCUGGCCGUCCGGUCCGCCUCACCGCGUGUACUGGCUCGGCCGGGCCUUUCCCUCUGUGGAACCCCAUGCCCUUCACUGGGCGUGGCGGGGAAACAGGACUUUUACUGUGAAAAAAUUAGAGUGCUCCAGGCAGGCCUUUGCUCGAAUACAUUAGCAUGGAAUAAUAGAAUAGGACGUGUGGUUCUAUUUUGUUGGUUUCUAGGACCGCUGUAAUGAUUAAUAGGGAUAGUCGGGGGCGUCCGUAUUCAAUUGUCAGAGGUGAAAUUCUUGGAUUUAUUGAAGACGAACUACUGCGAAAGCAUUUACCAAGGAUGUUUUCAUUAAUCAAGAACGAAAGUUAGGGGAUCGAAGAUGAUUAGAUACCAUCGUAGUCUUAACCAUAAACUAUGCCGACUAGGGAUCGGACGGUGGUUUUUUUAUGCCCCGUUCGGCACCUUACGAGAAAUCAAAGUGUUUGGGCUCGGGGGGGAGUAUGGUCGCAAGGCUGAAACUUAAAGAAAUUG